ACAUUGGAACUGAAUUAUUUGUUUGUGGUAGU
rnacentral:piRNA from 1 species